UGAAAUCCUAUAUGAAGAAAUUAAACAAGACUUUGAAGACUUCUGGACUAGACAUGACGCAGAUGGCUUCUACUUCAAAGUCAACAAUACCGUCUGCAUUCGGAUCAGAUAAUUCUGAUUCUGAUUCAGAAGACUCGCUUUCAGACGAGUGUUGAUAAACAAUUUUUUUUUCUUAUUAAAACUUCGAAUGUUUAACGAUUCUGUAAUUUAAUUUCUU
rnacentral:lncRNA from 1 species